rnacentral:rRNA from 1 species
CGCGGCCUAUCAGCUUGUUGGUGGGGUAAUGGCCUACCAAGGCGACGACGGGUAGCCGGCCUGAGAGGGCGACCGGCCACACUGGGACUGAGACACGGCCCAGACUCCUACGGGAGGCAGCAGUGGGGAAUAUUGCACAAUGGGCGAAAGCCUGAUGCAGCGACGCCGCGUGAGGGAUGACGGCCUUCGGGUUGUAAACCUCUUUCAGCAGGGACGAAGCGUAAGUGACGGUACCUGCAGAAGAAGCGCCGGCCAACUACGUGCCAGCAGCCGCGGUAAGACGUAGGGCGCGAGCGUUGUCCGGAUUUAUUGGGCGUAAAGAGCUCGUAGGCGGCUUGUCGCGUCGACUGUGAAAACCCGCAGCUCAACUGCGGGCCUGCAGUCGAUACGGGCAGGCUAGAGUUCGGUAGGGGAGACUGGAAUUCCUGGUGUAGCGGUGGAAUGCGCAGAUAUCAGGAGGAACACCGGUGGCGAAGGCGGGUCUCUGGGCCGAUACUGACGCUGAGGAGCGAAAGCGUGGGGAGCGAACAGGAUUAGAUACCCUGGUAGUCCACGCUGUAAACGUUGGGCGCUAGGUGUGGGGGACCUCUCCGGUUCUCUGUGCCGCAGCUAACGCAUUAAGCGCCCCGCCUGGGGAGUACGG